rnacentral:rRNA from 1 species
AUUACUAAGCGGAGGAAAAGAAACUAACAAGGAUUCCCCUAGUAACGGCGAGUGAAGCGGGAAGAGCCCAGCACCGAAUCCCCUGGCCUUGGUCAGUGGGAACUGUGGUGUUUAGGGACGUCUAUUGUCGCCGGUGUGGAGCGUCCGAGUCCUCCUGAUCGGGGCUUCACCCAUAGCGGGUGUCAGGCCUCUACGGCCCUCCGCCCGGCGGCUUUCGCCGUCCUUGGAGUCGGGUUGUUUGGGAAUGCAGCCCUAAGUGGGUGGUAAACUCCAUCUAAGGCUAAAUACAGACACGAGUCCGAUAGCGGACAAGUACCGUGAGGGAAAGUU